CGCCCUCCUGCACGUCCCACACCUCAUGGCCCUCCGCUGAGGAAUGAAGAGCGCACAGUGAAGGUCAUCACCAAUACAACUGUCUGUCCGGAUCCGGAUAUUGUACAAGUUCCUCGGUUUUCGUGCGUCAGAUGGACUUCACCCGGACAUAUACACUCACCACCACCAACGUGCACAGGCGGCAGUUGAACCUUCUUUGUGCUUCGCUGAUAAGGUGACGCCAUCCUUCUUCCCUCACAUCAACCUGCCGCCAACUCACGUGUCGUCGGAGUCAGUCCCGGCUUUUCCAGCUCAGUGAAAUAUUGUGGUGCAAGUUUGGAGCACAAUGAAAAAAAAAAAAAAAGCUGACAGCUUAAGGGGUGAUGGAGUUGUUAAAAUGUUUUAAUAUUUGAAGUUUUAUUUUUUGACCAAUAAAGUUUCUUAAUUUGCUCAAAUUAAGUAAAGUUUCACAACGCAAUCAGUAGUCAAAGGAUUAAUGGUGCUUCAUGCUCAUUCAUACUAUCUGUGCCUGUACUGAUUAUAUUUCCUGCAGUUGUGGUAUCUGUGACAUUGUAUGCCCCCCAAUGCAAUACAUCUUGCUAUUACGGUGUCAUCAACAUUAUAUAACCUCUCUCUCUCUCUCUCUCUCUCUCUCUCUCUCUCUCUCUCUCUCUCUCUCUCUCUCUCUCUCUCUCUCUCUCUCUCUCUCUCUCUCUCUCUCUCUCUCUCUGGUGUGUGUGUAUGUGUGUAUGUGUGUGUGUGUGUGUAUGUGUGUGUAUGUGUGUGUGUGUGUAUGUGUGUGUGUGUGUGUGUGUGUGUAUGUAUGUGUGUGUGUGUGUGUGUGUGUGUGUGUGUGUGUGUGUGUGUGUGUGUGUGUGUGUGUUUGCUCUGAAAAUAUUUUUACAAGUGUUUAACUCUUAUUAUUGCACUUCUUUUACUGAGCACUUAGUCUGUUCUGUAUUGAUAUUAAAUUUCUUGUUGGACUUACUCUAUUAUCAUCGCAGUUUUUUAUAAGUACGACUGACUCUUUAUUCUCUUAUACAUCUAGGGAUUUAUAAAGACGUGUGUGUGUGUGUGUGUGUGUGUGUGUGUGUGUGUGUGUGUGUGUGUGUGUGUGUGUGUGUGUGUGUGUGUGUGUGAAAUUAUUCCAGGUACAAUAU